AUAAUAUUAUAAUGUGGGCAACUGGGAAAGUCACGAGCACAGUUUCGAAUCCUUUCCGUGCGCUCUUGUGAUCCUCGAUAAUACUUUCGAAAAAUACGAAGGCGAAUUAGCGGGUGAAAUCACGCCGCUUAGAGAUCAACUACGGAGUAGCACUUAGAAAUUCAUAAAAAUAGAAUACUGGAAAUUAAAUCGAGAAACAGGCAGAGUCCUUUAGCAAUGACUCUCUUGCAUGCAUUGAAAUUACUUUUUCUUAAUGUUUGUUACAAUAUUAUUAAUUAACAUUAUUUUUCUAGCCACGUUUGGAGGAAAACCAUGGAACAGAAUUUUCUUCGAUAUUUUUCGUUGUCUUACCACACCGAACGUAUUAAUCAACUUAAGAUUUAAUCUAAAUUAAAACAUUUCUCUGGCAGGCUAUCUUAGUAGUAUCUGCUAUUACACAAAUCUAGAGAACAGCUUCCGGACAUUUACGGAUAGCAACGCAGAGCUGAUAUUUAAUACCACGAAAUUAUUUCACAAAUCAACGUUACAUCUCCUUCGACGUAACAUGCUCACUGUGCCUCAGCAGGAUACCGUUCUACGACAUAUUUCACGAAGGAUUCCUUUGAUCAAUAGUUACCUAGCCAUUCCGAUCUGCGGCUUACUCUCGCAAUUUCGCAGCUCGCGGAAGAUUUACGUUCGCCGCAACUGACAAUGCGAAUCCCCUUUAAUAACCGUGUCCGUCUUUAUUGCUGCUCGGUUUGCACCAUUUGUAUCGUUGACUUGAGCCCGCCUACUUUACAAUCCGUCGUAGAUUCGUAUUAUUAGAUAAUGCGACAGCUAUACGAUGGAGUUUGCCCAUUCGUGCAGUUCGCGUUACCGCACGUGCGGCAGUUGACUUCAACAAACAUAGCUGUUAGGCGACUAACGAGAGCGAAUUGUAGAGAUUAAUCGUGUUAGGCCACUGUUCCUGUAAACGCGUGUGUUUUAACGGUAAUCGUCUUUCGCAAAUUGUAUAUGUUAAUCCUGCUGCGGUUCUCAAAUGUUUAGAUUUCGAUAUUCGAUUUAGAAAAUAAUAUCUAAUGUUUUAAGAAGAUGUUUAACACGACACUGAUACGAAAGAUCAUGGAUACCAAUAACAAUUUUCUGAUAUUUUGUUCAAAUUUGGAUAAUCUACAGAAACCUCCGUGGCUGCAAUUCACGAACGCUUGUUCCAAACUCUACCAACAUAAUCAUGACAAUCUGAUUUCAUUAGUGCUAAUGAAAUCUCAAAACGUUCUAUACGUGCAACUAGUGAUUGUAUCGAUACCGAUAUGUUUGCAUAGCACACGUGACAUUAUAAUACAUAAUAAUACGUAAUAAUAUACAAUAGUACAUACUUCAUAGAAGCUUUCUGUAAAUGUACAAAUGUCUUCACGAGUCACUGUAGAUACCACGAAUCUCAGUAUCGAGAUCAGUAUCGCUAUCGAUAAAGAGUGAAACUUA